GUUGGGUCACAAUGGCAGGGCUUGAUUGACCACCACCAUACUGGCUUGCGAGCCCUUGAGACAGUCCAUAGCCAGUGGAGCCUUGAGAACCACUGUAAGCACUCGAUAAACUGGAGGUGGAGGAACCAUUAGCUGUUGUGGCACCUUCAGUUGCCUUCUGGGUUACAGUUAAUGCAGGAGCAGAGCCAAGUUGAUUUGUGCCUUGCUGUGUCUGGAAACUAACAUAGGGUCUGGAAAGUCCUAGGGACAACCAGUCGGAAAGUGUGCUUUGCGAACCAGUGUGGGAGCUGGAAGACAUGCCAGAGGCUUGUUGGUUCAAAGUUAAAGCAGGGGCAGAGCUCAAUUGGUUUUUGUCUUGCUGUGUUUGGAAACUACCAUAUUGGCUGCCAAGCCCUUGUGAAAGCCCAUAGACAGUUGAGCCUCUGCUUUGUGAGGCAACGUUCUGUUUUCGGAAAGCUUGAAAACCUGGGAACACUGGCUUGUAGUAAACAAAAGAGCCAUUUGUCAGGGCUUCCGAUGAAGAUAAGCCUGUCCAUAAAUCUAUCUUAGUUUGCAGAACUCCAGCAUUGGUUUUACUUUCAUCCCUCAAGGCUGUGGAAGUUUGGGCUCCAUCAGGAAAGGAUGCAGUUUCCUGCAGCUGAUCCAGAGAGGUCUUGCCAUCAACACUGUACCAAUCUUCUGCAGGGCUUUUACUCCACACUUGUUAGAAGAAAAAUAAUUUGAAGGUCAUACAGACACAACAAUUUAUGAACAUCAAU
ensembl:lncRNA